rnacentral:rRNA from 1 species
UACGUAGGGGGCAAGCGCUGUCCGGAAUGAUUGGGCGUAAAGGGCGCGUAGGCGGCCUGUUAAGUCUGGAGUGAAAGUCCCGCUUUCAAGGUGGGAAUUGCUUUGGAAACUGGCGGGCUGGAGUGCAGGAGAGGUUAGUGGAAUUCCCGGUGUAGCGGUGAAAUGCGUAGAGAUCGGGAGGCACACCAGUGGCGAAGGCGACUAACUGGACUGUAACUGACGCUGAGGCGCGAAAGUUUGGGGAGCAAACGGG